ACUGGCAACACUGCUUCCUUCAGCAGGGCCCGGGCGAUGCUACCGGAAGUUACUUGGAAGCAACGUUGGGCAGUGGUGGUAAACUAAAAGAAAAAUCUUUAGCAAAGGUGGACCUUACAUUUAUUGCAUUUCGACAUUCUGUCUUGCACAAUCUGCAACGUCCUUUUUCAGCAAAUACCACCCAAUGCUCCAAUUUAUCGUAACGCAGAAAAGUUGUAGGAUCGGGCUGAAAUUUGUAUUUUAUUUUUGACGCUUGGCCUUUGAAAUGCGGUCCUGGGCGUACUGAAUGAACCGCUUUGCUACGCGGUCAAAAUCUUUCAACUCGAAUUUUUAUUGAAAAGCACCUGGAAAAAUGUUAAUUAAAUAUUUUAAAAUAUAAAUUCAUUUCGUGAAACU